ensembl:lncRNA
GAAAGCGUGUAACUUUGGCCUAAUAAUGAACUUUUCAUGGCGAAGAAGAAAUACACGAACUAACUGGCCACUUCAGAGACUGUGUUGUGUCUGUGUGUCGGUGUGACUGUGGGAGCCGAGGGAGCAGAGGUGUCGGUGACACAGGGAGAGGAAUGGAGAGAGAGACGAUAGAUACGGAGGGAGCGAGAUGGCUGUCAGUAUCGGUUCUGUUUGCUCCAAGCCAAGUCAGAGUGAAAACCCUGUUAUGCUAGAGAGAGAGGGAAGGAAACAUUCAAGAUUCUGGAUGAGGGACAGAGCGGAUGGAGAAGGGGAAAGGCUGGAUACAAAGGGAGAGAGAGGAACUCAAGUGCUUGAACGCAGGAUCCAUCUGUUCGGUGUAUCGUCUGAUUUCCCCCUCCCAGCACCCUCCUCUUUCUCUUUUCCUCCCUCACCUCCCAUUAAAACCACGUAAGCCUGAUUUAUCAAGAAUUGGCUCUCAGAGCACCUGAGAUGCAUAUCCAAUGAGCAGAUGUUUUUGUAAAACAUAUAAAGUUGUGAGAUAUUAAGUAGUAAGUA